rnacentral:rRNA from 1 species
AGUGAACGCUGGCGGUAGGCCUAACACAUGCAAGUCGAACGGCAGCACAGUAAGAGCUUGCUCUUACGGGUGGCGAGUGGCGGACGGGUGAGGAAUACAUCGGAAUCUACUUUUUCGUGGGGGAUAACGUAGGGAAACUUACGCUAAUACCGCAUACGACCUACGGGUGAAAGCAGGGCAUCUUCGGAUCUUGCGCGAUUGAAUGAGCCGAGGUCGGAUUAGCUAGUUGGCGGGGUAAAGGCCCACCAAGGCGACGAUCCGUAGCUGGUCUGAGAGGAUGAUCAGCCACACUGGAACUGAGACGCGGUCCAGACUCCUACGGGAGGCAGCAGUGGGGAAUAUUGGACAAUGGGCGCAAGCCUGAUCCAGCCAUACCGCGUGGGUGAAGAAGGCCUUCGGGUUGUAAAGCCCUUUUGUUGGGAAAGAAAAGCAGCAGGUUAAUACCCCGCUGUUCUGACGGUACCCAAAGAAUAAGCACCGGCUAACUUCGUG